GACGAACGCUGGCGGCGUGCCUAAUACAUGCAAGUAGAACGCUGAAGCGAGGAGCUUGCUCUUCUUGGAUGAGUUGCGAACGGGUGAGUAACGCGUAGGUAACCUGCCUUGUAGCGGGGGAUAACUAUUGGAAACGAUAGCUAAUACCGCAUAACAAUGGAUGACACAUGUCAUUUAUUUGAAAGGGGCAAUUGCUCCACUACAAGAUGGACCUGCGCUGUAUUAGCUAGUAGGUGAGGUAAUGGCUCACCUAGGCGACGAUACAUAGCCGACCUGAGAGGGUGAUCGGCCACACUGGGACUGAGACACGGCCCAGACUCCUACGGGAGGCAGCAGUAGGGAAUCUUCGGCAAUGGGGGCAACCCUGACCGAGCAACGCCGCGUGAGUGAAGAAGGUUUUCGGAUCGUAAAGCUCGGUUGUAAGUCAAGAACGGGUGUGAGAGUGGAAAGUUCACACUGUGACGGUAGCUUACCAGAAAGGGACGGCUAACUACGUG
rnacentral:rRNA from 1 species